GUGAAUCAUCAAAUCUUUGAACGCAAAUUGCACUUUCUGGUAUUCCGGAAAGCAUGCCUGUUUGAGGGUCAGUUCAAUCAAAAUCGGCGUUGUUGCUGCCUUUCGUCGUGAUGCGUCGGAUUUGACUCGUCUUACCUUCGGUUACGCUUCUUAAAAUUUUUCCAUGAUUUUCGAACGUAUUUAAAUCGUUUACGGACGUUUGAGAUAUCGAAUGCUUAUUAUGUUCGUUCAUCCUCAUGAACCGCGCCUAUAAUUUUUUCCUUAAAUAACCUCAAA
rnacentral:misc_RNA from 1 species